ensembl:lincRNA Gm16386 predicted gene 16386
GAAUGCAUUACGCGGUAACCGUAACCGUGGGCUGGUUUCCCAGAGAGAACCCGUGUCCUAGAUCUCUCUGGACCCCGGGAAACUCUCCUCAGACCGGGUUUCCUAGCUGUGGGCCUGGGAGAGUCGGCAGUGAGCAGCCCAGCGGUGGGCACCGCAGCCCGGCGUCCCUGGAACUUCCCAGGUGUCCCACUCCUCAGCCAGUUCUGCUCACCUGUGAGUCUGAACCAAGAGCCCUGGAUGGUGAAGAGAAGAAGCUGUAGCAAAGGAUCCAGAGUUGCCAUGGACACAGAGUCUCUUCACAGCAGUCAACUCUAACUAAGACAACAUUCAUCAAGGAGCUCCUUUCCCAAAACACAGUAUUGUUUCAACAUCUAUUUAUCUUGCCUUCUGCAUGGCACACAGUUAAGGUAUGUAUUAGAAAGUUUUUGUUAAUUCUUCUGAUCAUCCACAAAAGGAUAUUUCAUCAACAACAACAAGCCUCUGCUGAGAGUGUCAUUCUGGAGAAUUGUUAGUUUACCAAUGGUAACAAAUAUAACCAGAAAUUGAUUAUUGGAUAUUUUCAGUAGUGCAACAAUCUCUAUUAGCUUUAUUUGUAUUCAUUUUCCAGUGAAUGUUCACAUAUGUGGUAAAUGUGGGCAAGUCUUAAAUAGAAGGCCCAAAGCAUUUUGCCCAUCAGUGUGUGAAUACCCAAGAGAAGUCUUACACACAUAAUGAUCUUGGGAAUGAUUUAUGAAUCCUCACAGUGUAUACUUUUUUUAAACACAAAUGAUACUACAGAAAAUUGUUAUAAAUGCUGACAUAUUAACUAUAAAUAUUAUUCUAUUGACACAUUAAACAUGAACUACAGAAAAUUGUUAUAAAUGCUGACAUAUUAACUAUAAAUAUUAUUCUAUUGACACAUUAAGCAUGAACAGUCAUAAAAAGUUUGCAUAUUGGAGAAGGACUUUAUGAAUAUAAAGACUGACAAGUGUUUUAAUUUGUAUUCAAACAUCAAAGUCCAAUAAUAAACCCACCCUAGACAACAGUGCACAAAAGAAGAGACUGAUAACUACUUUGAUACUAAGUACAACUUGUGAUAAAAACAAAUCUCUAUUGGAAAAAAACCUACCAAUGCAGGAAAUUCAACAACAAUGGACUGCCUUCCAGAGAGAACUUGACAGGGAUAAGCUCCCAGCCUUCUCCAAAGCUGAAAGCCAACUACAAUUAAAUGUUUUCCUUUAUGAGAUGUGUAGUGGUCAUGAAGUCUCUUCACAUAUACUCUUCUUUUAGCUGCCUAUGAGACAGUCUUCUGUUUGCCUUCAGAACAAGAUGUAGAACUCUCAGCUCCUCCAGCACCAUGCCUGGCUGGAUGCUGCUAUGCUCCCUGCCAUGAUGAUAAUGGACUGAACCUUCGAACCUAUAUGACUACACCUAUUAAAUACCC